GGGUUGGUAGCUCAGCCGGUAGAGCAGUUGGCUUUUAACCAAUUGGUCGUGGGUUCGAAUCCCGCCCAACCCACCA
rnacentral:tRNA from 3 species